UACGUAGGGGGCAAGCGUUGUCCGGAAUCAUUGGGCGUAAAGCGCGUGUAGGCGGCCCGAAAAGUCUGGUGUGAAAACUUGAGGCUCAACCUCAAGCUGUCACUGGAUACUGUCGGGCUUGAGUCCGGAAGAGGAGAGUGGAAUUCCUGGUGUAGCGGUGGAAUGCGCAGAUAUCAGGAGGAACACCAAUGGCGAAGGCAGCUCUCUGGUACGUGACUGACGCUGAGACGCGAAAGCGUGGGGAGCAAACAGG
rnacentral:rRNA from 1 species